CCCCAGAUACUGGGAGUAGUCCUUCGAAUCCAAAGGCGCGAAAACUUCUCCGACCACAGCGAUCUUGUUACGCUCUGCACCUGCCUUAAAAGCGGCGACGCUUGACCGGCCCAUUUCAUAGUCUGGUCCGAUUGCAAACACCUUGGCGGUUGGCUUUUCUUUGCCGAGCCAACUUGUCAGUGCAUACGACUGCUGUUCGGCGCGCGCA
rnacentral:misc_RNA from 1 species